UCAGUUGGGAGAGCGUCAGACUGAAGAUCUGAAGGCUCUGUGUUCGAUUCACAGU
rnacentral:tRNA from 14 species